AUAAUUUUAAAAGGAUUUUUGAAUAAUUUGGGGCCAAAAUCAGAAGUAGUUUUUAGGUUACUUCUGAUUGUAGAUUGUGCGGCAAUCUACAAGCUUAGUUUAAUGAAACUUUCGUUAUUUCCCAUUUACUCCUGUUGAAUGAAAAUAAUCCCACACCAUUACCAGGGUUUUAAUGCAUGCGAUUGAAGUUUUGGCGGACUCUCUCUCCCUUCUCUCGGUCAGACAUGGCUGUGGUGGGUAGGGUUUCCUGAUUGUUGGAUUUCCGGUUAGAGCUCAACAGAUCCAAGAGUAUCGCCACUAAACUGUUCGAUUGAUCUGAUAGAAGCAAUUUCAAGUGUAAUAUUUACAUCUCCGAGAUGUGCAGAUAUACCGGAACUAAUGGAUAUCAGGAAGCAUUUAACAGUAAAAUAUGGAAAGGAAUUUAUUACUAUAGCUAUCGAAUUGCGUCCAAAUUGUGACGUAAAUCGCAUGUUGGUGGAUAAAUUAUCUGCCAAGGCACCCGAUGGUCAGACCAAGCUUAAAAUCUUAACUGCAAUUGCAGAGGAACAUAGUUAUUGUAGGUGUUUUCGUUUACGAAGCAAGUUAUUCGUUUAUAAAGAGAAUCAACCAAAGGAUAAUGUAAAAGAAAAUCAAGCUUUACUAUCACAAGAAAUGGAUGAAGUACGAGAUCAAUUUGUUACAAGUUUAAUGAGCACGAUUUAAUUCUUUCAAUGCUUCUACCAAUUUUUGA